GAGUGCCGGGAAGCGGCGCUCAUUCUCCCCGGUCGGGCUCUGCGCCUUUGCUCCAGGAGCCGCCGCCCGACUGCCUGGGGCCAGGGACAGCCGUCGCGCCCGGACCUCCGCCGGGACCCUUUCCGAAAGGUGCGCACAGCCACGGGGGGCGCAGGGCUGGCCGGGAAGAUCCUUUUCACCUGGCGGACGCUGGUGCUCGGCCUCAUCCUCCUGCCUUCGGCCUUCGGGUGUCUUUGGGCAUCUCCGAGAUGCACAAGGAAGUUCCUGGUGAAAACCUAGAGGAGUCCUGGCUGCGGGGUGGAAUGAGAACAUCGUAAGGAUUUCUCAGAGCUAGGUCUUUACCGACUUGGAAGCUCCUGAAAAAUAUUCAAGCACAUCAUGGCUCCUUCACGAAUGCAAAAUGAGAAAUGAGGUGUCAGCGGCUCUGGAAUUCCUUUGUUGGGAAGAAGUCCAAGGUGAUGAAAGGCAGGGUGAUAUGCAUGGGCACCUGGAUUAUAAAACGGGUAUGAUUAGGCUAGAUUCCCAUUCACAUAAAAUGACUUCCAGGCAGAGUCCCCAGCACUUAGCACUCCUUCCUCUGAGCGGAUGCAAGAGUCUCAAUGCAAGAAUGGAAACCGCUGAAGGAUGAUGAAAAGCCUUCUUGCAGAGAGCUCCUUCAUUCAUUUCUUCAUUCCACAAAUAAUUGCUGCGCUCACUUUAUGGCAGGCAUGUCUUCGUAAUGAGGAACACAGAGAUGAAGCGGACAGACCAGGUCCUAGCCUUCGUGGGGCUUCUGCUCUAGUGCGAGAAAACAGACAAGGGAAAGGGGGAGGAGAAAGAGAAGAAAAAAAGAGAAAAGGAAGAUCAAAUGUUGUAGGUGCUGAGAAGAGAAUUAAAGUAAGAUGAUGGAUGGUGUGACUGGAGGACUCUAGAUUGGGUGGUGAGGGAAAGGCUGUCUCAGAUGAAACACCGGAGCUCUGAAUGUCAAGUCAUUAAUGCUAACAUCAAAGGGAGGAACAUUCAGGCAAGAGGGGCUAUGUGCUCAGGGAAUAAAUUUAAGAUCAGCCCAAACAAAAUAUAAUUAACAGAAUAAUUUUGUGCCUCCACUAAAUAAGCUUUCAAGAACCUUUUCUUUCCCUUAUUCAUAUCUCUGUUAAAUGGACUAUUCAGAGUCCAAUGUUGAGAAAUACAGCUCAGCAGCAAACACAGACAACUGAGAAAUAUUAGCGGCUGAAUGGAAUAGUCACUUCCGAUAGUGACUAAUGUGCCAUUCUUUCUAAACAGGAACCCUACCUCUUCCUGAUAUCAGAGUCGGAAAGAAGAAAACAGCCCCAACCAAGAAACCAAACCCAACCUAAAACACUCCACCUCACCCCAAAUAGAAAUAACCCAUUUUAUUUACCAACUUCAUCAGUGAGAGACGAGAUUGACAUCAGGGUAAGAGGUCUUUAUAUUCCACAUUAAUUGCAAAAGAGCAGAGAAGCAAAAGAGCAGAGAGGUGAGACUUUGGAAAGAAUGCUCAAAGAACUACACCCUUCUUCCUUGAUUGUUUACAUCAGACUUGCAAUCAAAUACUAAACAUACACCAGCUAUAUACUGUUUGACCAACUCACCUGCUCUGGAGUGAAUUGUGUCAUGCCCAAAUUCAUGUGUUGAAGACCCAACCCUUUCAUGAGACUGUGUUGGAGAUGGGGCUUUUCAGGAGGAGACUGAGGUUUAAUGAGGUCAUAAAAAUAGAAACCUGAUCUAAUAGGACUGGUCCUCUUAUACGAAUAAGAAGAGACACCUGAGCUGGGCUCUCUCUCUGCUUUGUGAGGACACAGUGAAAAGGCAGCUGGAAGACAGUCUUCACCAGAACCAAACCAUUCCAGUACUUUCAUCUUGGACUUCCAGCAUUUAGAACUGCGAGAAAUAAACGUCUGUGUGUCA